rnacentral:misc_RNA from 1 species
UCCCAGUUGAUCUGGGCAGUCUUACUUGAGUGCUAGGCAAAUGCCUGUGGCAACAAGUCAUGAGGGUUGCGCUCGUUGCGGGACUUAACCCAACAUCUCACGACACGAGCUGACGACAGCCAUGCAGCACCUGUGCAAAUUUUGGGUUUCCCCAAUCUCGCGCUUUCACGCGAUUAGAGAUGCAUGUCGAGCCCAGGUAAGGUUCUUCGCGUUGCAUCGAAUUAAGCCACAUACUCCACCGCUUGUGCGGGUCCCCGUCAAUUUCUUUGAGUUUUAAUCUUGCGAUCGUACUUCCCAGGCGGCGCGCUUAACGCGUUUGCUCCGGCACAGGAUAGGUCAAACCAUCCCACACCAAGCGCGCACCGUUUACAGCCAGGACUA